CCUACGGGCGGCAGCAGUAGGGAAUAUUGCUCAAUGGGGGAAACCCUGAAGCAGCAACGCCGCGUGGAGGAUGAAGGUUUUCGGAUUGUAAACCGCUUUUGCACGGGGAUAACACCCUCCACUUGUGGAGGUCUGCAGGUACCGUGCGAAUAAGGGCCGGCUAAUUCCGUGCCAGCAGCCGCGGUAAUACGGAAGGCCCGAGCGUUAUCCGGAUUCAUUGGGCUUAAAGGGAGCGUAGGCGGGCGUUCAAGUCAGCUGUAAAAUCGCGCGGCUCAACCGCGCCCCGCAGUUGAAACUGGACGCCUUGAGUUCACAACAGGCAGGCGGAAUGCGCGGUGUAGCGGUGAAAUGCAUAGAUAUCGCGCAGAACUCCGAUUGCGAAGGCAGCAUGCCGGCUCCACACUGACGCUGAGGCACGAAAGCGUGGGUAUCGAACAGGAUUAGAUACCCUAGUAGUC
rnacentral:rRNA from 1 species